UGAGGGCCCUGGUAGGGUGAGACCUUUCCAGCAAAAAAUGAAGUGAAAUGGCCCCAUCAUAGAGAGCCCCCUUCUUGACCCUUUCAUCAGAGUUGCUAUGGUUUAUAGAUGUCAACAAAUUCCCCCACCCUGGAAAGCAAGGCCUCUGCCAGUCAGAAGAAAGAAUUUUGUCAGAGGUGGGAAGAGUUUCUCUUUUGGAGUCUGACCCCUCGUUUUGUGGAUGUAGAAGAUGGAUGGAAUCCUCCUUCUUACUCCUUAGCCCCAGAAAAGCAUCCCCACGCAAAUAAACCCAUAAGAGGAUCCCUGAGUCCGCCAACUGAAACACUUCAUCACCAUAUCCAGCUUUGGAGGUGUUCACUCCAUGGAUUUGGGUUGAACAGGACUCUCAGACUUCAGUCAGCCAGGACUUUGCAGGAGCCUUCCUCAUUUCAGCUGGAUUUGAACCUGGAGAAGCUGGAAGCCCCCCCCCCCCGCAUCCUAAGAAUGAAGCUUGCACAGAGAAAGGUAGGGUUGAAAGAUGGACAGAAACUGAACCUUGAGUUCUGUCACACCGUGGUCAUUGUUAUCUCCAUUUCACAGAUAAGGAAACCGAGACUAGGUGAGACUCAAUUACUUAUCGCAGAUGUCCAGGAGACAGGAUUUGACUCGAUGAAGGUCAGAUUUCAAAAGUGAGGCAAUUUCUGCUGUAAGACACCUCCACAACUCGUAAACACGCCAUCUCCUCUGAGUGAGAGAAAUGAUGAAUUUUGAAACUAGUAGGUCUGAGUUUGAGUCUAUCAAGGAGAUUUUAUGCUCUUUUGGCAAUGCCUGUGUUCGAUGGGAUAAACACAUACUUCUGUUUCUCAGGAUAAUUCACGGGUUUUGUCUGCUUGGUUUUUGCUCACUUUCCACAGAAAGAGUACUAACUCUUAUAGAUAUGCUAAUGAGUGUCUCUUCAAUUGUCCUCUCUUGGAGUUUUUCUUUGGGUAUAUUCUUGCUGGUUCCCCAGAUAUAAGUGCAUAGCAAAGAGUGGGGAAGGUGUGGAAUGCUCUGGAAAGAUAGGGAAGAGUAGACCAAGAAACAAUCAAAUGUGGACCACGGUGUUUUAGGAUGGUGUGUUUUAUAUUUUUUAGAAGAGCUUCCCUGAGCCAUCCCAGCAGAGUCUAAGAAACCCUGCCAGAUCUAGGUGGGCUGGGGGAACUAUAGGACAUAGGAACAAUAUGUACUAAACCCUUGCUGUGUAAGUGACAGGAAUGGGAUUUGAUUUUCAAACACAGGUGCUUUGUUACACUCCACGCCUGCAAAGCACUUCUAACUCCAUCACUGUUCUGCUUUGCUGAUAACCAGAGUCAUUAUGAAUUUUAAGACGAUCAGAGUUAUCUUGAAGGUUAUCAAGAUUUUCUGUUCUGUGGGUGAUGUUUAUCAGGCUAACCUUAGAACUGCUCAGAAAUGGCAGAGUUGUUCUCUAAGAUGGGGAGUUGUGAGUCUGGCCUGAAUAUUUCUUUAAAAAAGAAAGGAGGGGUGGGGCGCCUGGGUGGCUCAGUCGUUAAGCUCCUGCCUUCGGCUCAGGUCAUGAUCCCAGGGUCCUGGGAUCGAUCCCCGCAUCGGACUCCCUGCUCAGUGGGAAGUCUGCUUCUCCCUCUCCACUCCCCCUGCUUGUGUUCCCUCUCUCGCUGUGUCUCUCUCUGUCAAAUAAAUAAAUAAACAAUCUUUAAAAAAAAAAAAAGUACUUCUUUAAAAAAAAAAAAGAAAGGAGGGGUGCCUGGGUGGCUUACUUGGUUAAGUGGCAGACUAUUGGUUUCAGCUCGGGUCCUGAUCUCAGGGAUUGUGGGAUUGACUCCCCCCGUUGGGCUCUGUGCUCAGCACGGAGUCUGCUUGUCCCUCUCCCUCUUCUCCUCCACUUGCUUUCUCUCUCUCUUUCUCUCUCCUUCUCUCUAAAAGAAAUAAAUAAAAUCCAAAAAAAAAAAAAAAAAAGGAAACAACAAAAAAAAUCAGAUUCCAAGGAGUUCCCCUUCAUUCAGACUCAGAGUAUUUAAUUCCAACAAAGAAUCAGAUGGGAAGGGAUAUUUUCAUAUUCUGUCCCAACAAGCACUUUGGUGGGUUCAUCUGGUAUCCUACAGUGAUAGCAUCCAACUGUGACGAUCCUAAGCAUGGCCUUCUUCAGAGCAUUUGUGAUUAAAAGCCCAAGAAGCAAGUUGAAGCAAUAACACAGCGUACUUUACAAACCAAUUUAAUUAAACUUGACUAGCCGUGGGAAACUCCACUCAACUAGCUGGUCAGUGGGAUAUCAUGGUUAACCAAGGGAGAGGCCAAAUUAGGCCCAGACCCCGGAGACUGUUUCAAGUCCCAGCAGUGAGACUGCUCACCUUUUCUCAUCUAAUUGCAGCCAUCAGUUUAAUCCUUAAAGAAUUAUGUCCAAUUGGUUUCCGUCUGUCUGCAUUUGUAAAUGUCAUUCUGCCCAUCAUGUGCUGUAAAGAUUAGCUAUGCUUCAUCGUUUUGUUAGCAUGAAUCAAUAAUGUGGGUUUCUUGGCUCGCUGAAUUUUUAUUUGU